CCUACGGGAGGCAGCAGUGGGGAAUAUUGGGCAAUGGGCGCAAGCCUGACCCAGCAACGCCGCGUGAAGGAAGAAGGCUUUCGGGUUGGAAACUUCUUUUCUCAGGGACGAAGCAAGUGACGGUACCUGAGGACUAAGCCACGGCUAACUACGUGCUAGCAGCCGCGGUAAUCCGGAGGUGGCAAAAGUUAUCCGGAUUUACUGGGUGUAAAGGGGGUGUAGGCGGGACUGCAAGUCAGAUGGGAAAACCACGGGCUCAACCUGUGGCCUGCAUUUGAAACUGUAAGUCUUGAGUACUGGAGAGGCAGACGGAAUUCCGAGUGUAGCGGUGAAAUGCGUAGAUAUUAGGAGGAACCCCAGUGGCGAAGGCGGUCUGCUGGACAGCAACUGACGCUGAGGCGCGAAAGCGUGGGGAGCAAACAGGAUUAGAUACCCUAGUAGUC
rnacentral:rRNA from 1 species